AAAGUCUUCAUGGCCAUAACACUAAAGAAAAGCCGAUAGAAGAAGAGUAGAGAGUCUACACAAGAGAAGUUUACAGCAAACAAUAAUACACAAAGAAGGCAGCUUUAUCGUCGGUGAAAACUUACAUUCCUGAAGGUAAUUCGGAGAUUACUCGAUUCAAACACCAAUAAUAGUUCACAAAAGAAAGAAGCAGAAAAGGCAAACCAACUUCUUGUAAUAUGGCGUCCAAGACUGACUGCUCAAAACUCAGGCCUUUCAAGGGGAAAUGAAAGAUUCGUUUCGUCUGCUAAAAAUUUC
rnacentral:lncRNA from 1 species